rnacentral:sRNA from 1 species
CAAGGCCUGUCCGGGGGAGGACUCCUCUUCUCAGCCCAUCUGCAGUAGGGCCACAUUCAGGCACUGGCUCCUUCUUAGUCCCAUGGAAGCACAGAUCAACAUCAUUGCCCUUGCAAACUUCUCUCAGCUUAGGACAGUCUACUCGCUCUUUGCACAUUGUUGACAUGAAAUGAAUAUUAAACACCAAACCUCAUAGAGGCCAGCCCUGCUGGGCAAGCAAUGAA